UAAUACAGAGACCCCAAGCGUUAUCCGGAUUUACUGGGCGUAAAGGGUCCGUAGGCGCUCCAUUAGGUUUUCUGUUAAAUUUCCAGCGCUUAACGUUGGAAGUGCAGAAAAAACCAAUGGGGUAGAGGGCGCUAAGGGCUGAUGGAACCGUCGGUGUAGGGGUGAAAUCCAUUGAUAUCGACGGGAACACCAGAAGCGAAGGCAUUCAGCUGGGGCGACCCUGACGCUGAGGGACGAAAGCGUGGGCAGAAAAAAGGAUUAGAUACCCUUGUAUUCCACGCCGUAAACGAUGGACACUAGCUAUUUGAAGUGUCGACCCUUCAAGUGGCGAAGCUAACGCGUUAAGUGUCCCGCCUGGGAAGUACGAGCGCAAGCUUA
rnacentral:rRNA from 1 species